rnacentral:tRNA from 1 species
GCGUCGUUAGCGCAAUAGGCAGCGCGUCAGUCUCAUAAUCAAAUCUAGAAAUCUGAAGGUUGUGAGUUCGAUCCUCACACGGGGCA